AACCGGGAGCUCCUAGGUCGCCCCGCCCCGUCCGGCCCGGAAGGGUCAGGGGUCAGUGGGUGGUGACGAGCCGCCGCUGUGUGGGUGUUCCCGGGUCCUGGGUCUAUGGCGCCACCGCAGCGAUGUCCUCUGUGUCGGCAAACUUUCUUCUGUGGUCGCGGUCACGUCUACAGCCACAAGCACCAGCGGCAGUUGAAGGGGGCUCUGGAGCGGCUUCUACCGCAGGUGGAGGCCGCCCGCCGGGCCGUCCGCGCCGCCCAGGUGGAGCGCUAUGUCCCCGAGCACGAUCGGUGCUGUUGGUGCCCGUGCUGUGGCUGCGAAGUGCGAAAACACCUGAGCCAUGGCAACCUGACAGUGCUACACGGGGGUCUGCUGGAACAUCUGGCCAGCCCAGAGCACAAGAAAGCCACCAACAAAUUCUGGUGGGAGAACAAGGCCAAUGCCCAGAUGAAAGAGAAGUUUCUGAUCUCCCCCCAGGAUUAUGCACGGUUUAAGAAGUCCAUGGUGAAGGGCUUGGAUUCCUAUGAGGAAAAGGAGGACGAGGUGAUUAAAGAGAUGGCAGCUCAGAUCCGUGAGGUAGAACAGAGUCGGCAGGAAGUGGUCCGAUCUGUCUUAGAGGUUGGUUUCCCUCGGAGGACCCAGCGCACCUCAGGCAGAGUCAGAUCCAGAAGAGGGCUCUUCAGCACCUGAAAGUUGGAAAGCGACCAACGGUGCUCAAGGACCUCAUCUGCCAGCCUGGCUCCCCUGUCUUUCAGCCAUGUAGCCUCCAGCUCACAGCAGGUAUCACACUUGGCCUUGCAACCUGUUGCAGAGCUUGAUUGGAUGGAGACAGGACAGCAACUAACAUUCAUUGGCCAUCAGGAUACACCCGGAAUUGGUAACAUUCACUCAGGUAAGUUUCUGAGCAGUUUCUGGGUCUGCGAGAUUAUCUUUUGGUUUCUGUUGUUUGCAGUCUAUGUAGCCCUGGCUGUUUCUGCCUCCUGACUGCUGGGAUUGAAGUAUGUAUCGCCAUACCCAGCUAUUUUGACACAGGGUAACCCUUUGUUCCCAUUGGCCUUGAGUUCUUGAACUAGACAUUUAACUAGUUUGCUGGGGUUUUGUUUUCCCUUUUAGUUUUCUGAGACAGGGUUUCUCUGUGCAGCCCUGGCCAUCAUGAGACUCACUCUAUAGACCAUGCUGGCCUAGAUCUCAGAGAUUCACCUGCCUUUGCCUGGGAUUAAAGGUGUGCCCUAUCACCACCUUUAACAUUUUUUUGUCUGUUAUCUAUUCAAGAAUUUGUAUCCAGAAUAGAUCAAAACUUGCUAGAGCUGAGGAAAUGGCUCAGUAAGACUACUUGCUGUGUAGGCAUGACUUCAGCCCUGAAGUCAUGGAAUGGAGACAGGUGCUGACUAGCAACCCUAGCUGUAACUCCAGCACUUGGGACCCUAAGGCAGGGAGGCCUUCAUUUUGAAGCCAGGUUGAGGUAUAGUGAAACCAUUAAUCAAUUUGAGAAACUUACAACAGAAGGUGACUAAAAUACUAACUGCAUGUACCAGCUGCUUGCCAGUUAUGCAAGGUGGAGAUUACUGUAAUGCUGGGGUGUAUACACUUACAAGUACUCCUUCCAAAUGAAGCCAUACUGCAUUUUUUGGUUGUGUGUUUUUUGAGACAGGGUUUCUCUGUAUAGCCCUGCCUGUCCUGGAGCUCAUUUUGUAGACCAGGCUGGCCUUGAACUCAGAAAUCCGCCUGCCUCUGCCUCCCAAGUGCUGGGAUUAAAGGCAUGCUCCAUCACUACCUGGCUACUGCAAGUAUUUUAAUGGAAUACAAUGAUGCCGGCUGGAGAGAUGGCUCAGAGGCUAAGCGCAAUGACUGCUCUCCUGAAGGCCCUGAGUUCAAAUCCCAGCAAACACAUGGUGGCUCACAACCAUCCAAAAUGAGAUCUGAAGCCUCUUUUGGUAUAUCUGAAGACAGCUACAGUAUAUUUGGAUAUAACAAUAAAUAAAUCUAAAAAAAAAAAAGGAAUACAAUGAUGCUUGAGUCAUUAAAUCAGGGCUUUCAUUGAAGCUUAUAUUAGCAUUUUUACUUUAAAACAAAGCAUUUGGGGAGGUAGAGGCAGGUGAAAUUUGAGACCAGCCUGAUCUGUGAAGUGAGUCCAGGAUAGCCAGGGCUACAGAGAAACCCUGUCUCAAAAGUCAGCAGACCUGUUGAUGGCACUGAGGUUCAGUGCCCAGCACCAACAUGGCAGUUCAGUCAUCUCUACUCCAGUCUCAGGGGAUCCACUGUCCUCUUAAUUUAUGACCAGACACCAUAAGACAUUGGAUCCCAUUACAGAUGGUUCCCAUGUGGUUGCUGGGAAUUGAACUUGGGACCUUUGGAAGUAGCGAUCUUAACCACUGAGCCAUCUCUCCAGCCCUCCACUGUCCUCCUGUAACCUCAGUAGGUACUAGGAUAGGGGGUGCAGACAUGGUUUCAGCUGCCUCUGGGCUACCUACUGCCAAGCUUCAGCCAGUGUUUAUUUUUGAGCACACCUAGCUGGAAGGUGCCAUGCCCUAUCAUGGAGCUUAAAGGGCUUUGCUUUGUUCUAGGUGCCACACCUCCCUGGAUGAUCCAAGAGGAGGAGCACAGCUCUGGCAGCCUCCCAAUAGGACCCUCCUAUGAGGAAUUUCUCAAAGAAAAGGAAAAACAAAAACUGAAGAAACUCCCUCCAGAUAGAGUUGGCGCCAACUUUGACCACAGUUCCAACACCAGUGCAGGCUGGUUGCCUUCUUUUGGCAGAGUCUGGAAUAAUGGACGCCGCUGGCAGUCCAGGCAUCAAUUCAAAACCGAAGCUGCAACAAGAAGCAAGCAACCACGUAAAGGGAAAAGCUGAAGGUUCCCAGGCGCAAUUGCAUCUGACUUCAUGGCCAACAAACCAAUUCCAGCUAUUAUUCCUAAGACCAAAUCCUCCCCGGCUGCCUUAGGAAACAGAUGCACCCAUUCAUUUGAUUCAAUAAAGUUUUAUUUUUCCAAAUGUA